UCCCGGUUAACCCGGGCAGUCUCACUAGAGUUCCCACCUUCACGUGUUGGCAACUAAUGAUAAGGGUUGCGCUCGUUGGGGGACUUAACCCAACACCUCACGGCACGAGCUGACGACAGCCAUGCAGCACCUGUGCAAAGGCCCCGAAGGGCUUUGAUAUCUCUACCAAAUUCCUCUGCAUGUCAAACCUGGGUAAGGUUCUUCGCGUUGCAUCGAAUUAAACCACAUGCUCCACUGCUUGUGCGGGUCCCCGUCAAUUCUUUUGAGUUUCAGCCUUGCGACUGUACUCCCCAGGCGGUAUACUUAACGCGUUCGCUUCGGCACAACUGGGGUUGAGUCCAGUUACACCAAGCAUACAUCGUUUACGGCAAGGACUAC
rnacentral:misc_RNA from 1 species